rnacentral:rRNA from 1 species
UGUUAAGCGGCGGACGGGUGUAGUAACACGUGGGUAACCUGCCUGUAAGACUGGGAUAACUCCGGGAAACCGGAGCUAAUACCGGAUAGUUCCUUGAACCGCAUGGUUCAAGGAUGAAAGACGGUUUCGGCUGUCACUUACAGAUGGACCCGCGGCGCAUUAGCUAGUUGGUGGGGUAAUGGCUCACCAAGGCGACGAUGCGUAGCCGACCUGAGAGGGUGAUCGGCCACACUGGGACUGAGACACGGCCCAGACUCCUACGGGAGGCAGCAGUAGGGAAUCUUCCGCAAUGGACGAAAGUCUGACGGAGCAACGCCGCGUGAGUGAUGAAGGUUUUCGGAUCGUAAAGCUCUGUUGUUAGGGAAGAACAAGUGCGAGAGUAACUGCUCGCACCUUGACGGUACCUAACCAGAAAGCCACGGCUAACUACGUGCCAGCAGCCGCGGUAAUACGUAGGUGGCAAGCGUUGUCCGGAAUUAUUGGGCGUAAAGGGCUCGCAGGCGGUUUCUUAAGUCUGAUGUGAAAGCCCCCGGCUCAACCGGGGAGGGUCAUUGGAAACUGGGAAACUUGAGUGCAGAAGAGGAGAGUGGAAUUCCACGUGUAGCGGUGAAAUGCGUAGAGAUGUGGAGGAACACCAGUGGCGAAGGCGACUCUCUGGUCUGUAACUGACGCUGAGGAGCGAAAGCGUGGGGAGCGAACAGGAUUAGAUACCCUGGUAGUCCACGCCGUAAACGAUGAGUGCUAAGUGUUAGGGGGUUUCCGCCCCUUAGUGCUGCAGCUAACGCAUUAAGCACUCCGCCUGGGGAGUACGGUCGCAAGACUGAAACUCAAAGGAAUUGACGGGGGCCCGCACAAGCGGUGGAGCAUGUGGUUUAAUUCGAAGCAACGCGAAGAACCUUACCAGGUCUUGACAUCCUCUGACAACCCUAGAGAUAGGGCUUUCCCUUCGGGGACAGAGUGACAGGUGGUGCAUGGUUGUCGUCAGCUCGUGUCGUGAGAUGUUGGGUUAAGUCCCGCAACGAGCGCAACCCUUGAUCUUAGUUGCCAGCAUUCAGUUGGGCACUCUAAGGUGACUGCCGGUGACAAACCGGAGGAAGGUGGGGAUGACGUCAAAAUCAUCAUGCCCCUUAUGACCUGGGCUACACACGUGCUACAAUGGACAGAACAAAGGGGCUGCAAGACCGCAAGGGUUUAGCCAAUCCCAUAAAUCUGUUCUCAGUUCGGAUCGCAGUCUGCAACUCGAACUG